AUUAAAGAGCACCAAUUAUGCUAAUAAAUUAGCACGUUAGCACGUUAUUGUAAUAUCCCAUAGUACAUACAUGUUAUUAAAACUUGAACUAAUGCACUGUGAGUCUUAUAAAUUGCUUACAUACCUCACCGAUUUCUGCAUGUCUGGAAAACGCUCGGUUUAGUUCCUGUCUCCGCCUCCCAAAAUGUCUAGUGUAUUCGGAUUGGUCAGAUGACUACUCAACUGUUAUUGGUCAACUGGGUUCGGCGUGUGUUUGAAAGGUUACGCCCCUGACUACGCGUGGAUUUUCCGGUUCUGACUGAGAGUCACAGGCAACGUAAACAAGCGCUAUAUUUCUCUAUAAACGAUGGUGUCUGUACUGCCUUACCACUUCAAGCUCGAUCCAGAGAGUUCAGACGGCCGUUACGAUGUAAACGAUCUCCGUCAAUGAACGCGAUUGGAUUUAACUUUUUUAGGUGUCCUUAGCUCUGCCAGAAUGCUAAACGAAGACGAAAAUGUGUUGCAAAGACAUCCAAAAGGUUUUAAGGAGAAUGCAACAUGUUCCAGGGCCUCUUACCUGCGUGAUUCAUCAUCCAGGUUUUGCACAAAUUGUCUAAAUCCCUACACACAGAACAUUUAUUGUACCGACUAUAAGCCUUUGAGGUGCAGGACUAGAAUACGCUUGGAGCUUCCUGAUCAGAUCGGUCACAAUUUUGGCUUUCGACGACCCCUGCACUGAAGAUGGCAUGCAAUCACGUCCUCCUUUGAAGGUCUCUCAAACUGUGAUGCCAAGUCCACUGGAAUCGGGGUUUCCUUCAGC